UGCAGAAAAUGGUCAUUUUUAAUACAAAUUCAAAAUGAAUAAUACAGCGUCAGCUUAAUAUUUCUAAAACUGUGAGAUUUGGAGUGCUCAAAAUAAAUAAUUUAACUUAAACGUUUGGAUUUUUUUUAAUUAGGCCUAAAAUUAAACUUUAACAUAGACUUGAAAAGAGUGUUCCAUUUAAGAACAGAGAUUAGAAAGACU
rnacentral:misc_RNA from 1 species